rnacentral:rRNA from 1 species
GAUCCUGGCUUAGGAUGAACGCUGGCGGCGUGCCUAAUACAUGCAAGUCGAACGGCAGUAGCAAUACUGUAGUGGCGAACGGGUGAGUAACACGUUGGUGACCUGCCCCAAAGAUGGGAAUAUCACCUGGAAACGGGUGGCAAAACCGAAUAAGCUUUUCCGAGUUAGAGAAGGAAAAGUAAAAGUGCAAACUACUUUGGGAGGGGCCUGCGGCCCAUCAGUUAGUUGGUGAGGGUAACGGCCCACCAAGACGAAGACGGGUAGGGGACCUGAGAGGGUGGUCCCCCACAAUGGAACUGAAACACGGUCCAUACACCUGCGGGUGGCAGCAGUAGGGAAUAUUGCUUAAUGGGCGAAAGCCUGAUGCAAGCGACGCCGCGUGAGUGAAGAAGUAUUUCGGUAUGUAAAGCUCUAUCAGCAGGAAAGAAAAUGACGGUACCUGACUAAGAAGCCCCGGCUAACUACGUGCCAGCCGCAGC